GAUGAACGCUGGCGGCGUGCCUAAUACAUGCAAGUCGAGCGAACGGACGAGAAGCCUGCUUUUCUGAUGUUAGCGGCGGACGGGUGAGUAACACGUGGAUAACCUACCUAUAAGACUGGGAUAACUUCGGGAAACCGGAGCUAAUACCGGAUAAUAUUUUGAACCGCAUGGUUCAAAAGUGAAAGACGGUCUUGCUGUCACUUAUAGAUGGAUCCGCGCUGCAUUAGCUAGUUGGUAAGGUAACGGCUUACCAAGGCAACGAUGCAUAGCCGACCUGAGAGGGUGAUCGGCCACACUGGAACUGAGACACGGUCCAGACUCCUACGGGAGGCAGCAGUAGGGAAUCUUCCGCAAUGGGCGAAAGCCUGACGGAGCAACGCCGCGUGAGUGAUGAAGGUCUUCGGAUCGUAAAACUCUGUUAUUAGGGAAGAACAUAUGUGUAAGUAACUGUGCACAUCUUGACGGUACCUAAUCAGGAAGCCACGGCUAACUACGUG
rnacentral:rRNA from 1 species